AUUGAACGCUGGCGGCAUGCCUUACACAUGCAAGUCGAACGGUAACGCGGGGGCAACCCUGGCGACGAGUGGCGAACGGGUGAGUAAUACAUCGGAACAUAUCCAGUAGCGGGGGAUAACCUAUCGAAAGAUUGGCUAAUACCGCAUACGAUCUACGGAUGAAAGCGGGGGACCGCAAGGCCUCGCACUAUUGGAGUGGCCGAUGUCAGAUUAGCUAGUUGGUGGGGUAAAAGCCUACCAAGGCGACGAUUUGUAGCUGGUCUGAGAGGACGAUCUGCCAAGCUGGACGUGAGACACGGCUCAGAUUCUUACCGGAGGCAGCAGUGGGGAAUGUUGGAGAAGGGUCGCAAGCCUGAUCCAGCCAUGCCGCGUGAGUGAAAGAGGCCUUCGGGUUGUGAAGCUCUUUCGGUGCAGACGAAACGGUUAGCGUUAAUAACGCUGACUAAUGACGGUACUCACAGAAGAAGCACCGGCUAACUACGUGCCAGCCGCCGCCGUAA
rnacentral:rRNA from 1 species